rnacentral:rRNA from 1 species
AUGGAUUGGUUGCAAGAGGGGCCUGCAACAAUACAGACGAUCCUGCCCUACCUCUCCCUUCUUGUUGCAGACAUUCUCCAUCGCUUCAUUGCGCGGGAUCCACUACCCAGACAGCCCCUAGCCGACGACGCCCCGUGUCCCUUGAGUCAAUGCGUGGAUGAUACACUCAUCAUCAUGAGGGCUAGCGUCGAGGCAACAACUUGGAUGAAGGCGAUCAUGGACAUGUUCUUCAACGCCAUUGGGCCCGUGAUCAAAUUCAACAAGGACGGUGCCAUGGCCCAGGGGUGCCGCAGGACACCGUAA